rnacentral:rRNA from 1 species
AUUGAACGCUGGCGGCAGGCCUAACACAUGCAAGUCGAGCGAGCGGCGGACGGGUGAGUAAUGCCUAGGAAUCUGCCUGGUAGUGGGGGCUAACUACUGGAAACGGUAGCUAAUACCGCAUACCAUCAGAUGUGCCCAGAUGGGAUUAGCUAGUGGGUGGGGUAACGGCUCACCAAGGCGACGAUCCCUAGCUGGUCUGAGAGGAUGACCAGCCACAAUGGAACUGAUACACGGUCCAGACUCCUACGGGAGGCAGCAGUGGGGAAUAUGGCACAAUGGGCGCAAGCCUGAGGCAGCAAUGCCGCGUGUAUGAAGAAGGCCUUCGGGUUGUAAAGUACUUUCAGCGGGGAGGCGUUACCCGCAGAAGAAGCACCGGCUAACUCCGUGCCAGCAGCCGCGGUAAUAC